rfam:Thermodesulfobacterium geofontis OPF15, complete genome.
UAUUAGGUUGUGGGCCGGAGUUGUGGAAGUGGGGUGAAAAUCCCCCGCUGCCCCGCAGCCGUGACCGGGGACGAAAGCCGCUUGUCCGCUUUUAUGCGGAUGGGAAAGGAGGUCCCAAGUAGGGUAUUCCCCGAAAGGAGGCUUCCUUUCUUGGGCUAAGAGCUUUUCUUUUUUAAAGCUCUUAGCCGACAGACCACUGGUGCCGAAAGGCACCGGGAAGGUGCGGCGAGUAGGACGAUCCGGAAGCCGGAAGACCGCUCCAGCCCCAAAAAACCC